rnacentral:rRNA from 1 species
UGGCGCACGGGUGAGUAACACGUGGGAACCUGCCUUUCGGUUCGGGAUAACGUCUGGAAACGGACGCUAACACCGGAUACGUCCUUCGGGAGAAAGUUUACGCCGAGAGAGGGGCCCGCGUCCGAUUAGGUAGUUGGUGGGGUAAUGGCCCACCAAGCCGACGAUCGGUAGCUGGUCUGAGAGGAUGAUCAGCCACACUGGGACUGAGACACGGCCCAGACUCCUACGGGAGGCAGCAGUGGGGAAUAUUGGACAAUGGGGGCAACCCUGAUCCAGCAAUGCCGCGUGAGUGAUGAAGGCCUUAGGGUUGUAAAGCUCUUUCGCACGCGACGAUGAUGACGGUAGCGUGAGAAGAAGCCCCGGCUAACUUCGUGCCAGCAGCCGCGGUAAUACGAAGGGGGCGAGCGUUGUUCGGAAUUACUGGGCGUAAACGGCGCCUAAGCGGCCUGCCUACCCAGAUUUGUAUUCCGCGGUGAUCCCUCCGCAAGUUCCCCUUCAGACACCUUGUUCUACUUUUCCGGAGAGGAUGGUGGAAUUCCCUGUGUAGAGGUUGAAAUUCUCAUAUUUUGGGUAUACUUCCCCU